UCGGGGAUCGUCUAAUGGCAGGACAGGAGACUUUGGAUCUCCCGAUCGAGGUUCGAAUCCUCGUCCCCGAGUCA
rnacentral:tRNA from 1 species